rnacentral:rRNA from 1 species
CAACAGGGAUUGCCCUAGUAACGGCGAGUGAAGCGGCAACAGCUCAAAUUUGAAAUCUGGCUCUCGGGCCCGAGUUGUAAUUUGUAGAGGAUGCUUUUGAUGCGGUGCCUUCCGAGUUCCCUGGAACGGGACGCCAUAGAGGGUGAGAGCCCCGUCUGGUUGGAUGCCAAAUCUCUGUAAAGCUCCUUCGACGAGUCGAGUAGUUUGGGAAUGCUGCUCUAAAUGGGAGGUAUAUGUCUUCUAAAGCUAAAUACCGGCCAGAGACCGAUAGCGCACAAGUAGAGUGAUCGAAAGAUGAAAAGCACUUUGAAAAGAGAGUUAAAAAGUACGUGAAAUUGUUGAAAGGGAAGCGUUUAUGACCAGACUUGGGCUUGGUUAAUCAUCUGGGGUUCUCCCCAGUGCACUUUUCCAGUCCAGGCCAGCAUCAGUUUUCGCCGGGGGAUAAAGGCUUCGGGAAUGUGGCUCUCUCCGGGGAGUGUUAU